CCCUGUAUACUUGAGGCCUUCUAAAGAUUUCUCUGGAGUCUUAAGGACUACUCCAAAGAUCAGAGAUGUGUAUCACGGUAGUCCAUGUGAGUUUUUCCAUUAUCCUGUUUUGGAGUGUGAUUCUUGACUGGCUUAAGUUUACCCACGAGAUAUAGGCAUGGAUUCAGUGAAGCUGUGAGACCUGAUUACACGUUCACCUGGGCAAGAGAGAGGAGCAGAGGCUGUCUGUCCAGAGUCCUUCAGCAGGGCAGCUGAGCCAAGCAACUGGCACUCAUUUACACACAUAGCGUGAUUAUCUCUCCCAAGGAUGAACAGUUAAGCAAAUGUUGAAUCAGUUUCCAAAUUACUGUUCUUUUUUCUAUUUCUAAAGCACAGCAUUUUUCAACAAUGAUACCGUAGUGAAAUGUCAGUCUUGUCCUGAGAUAUUUUCUUAAUAAAAUAGGAACAGAGAUAAAAGACACAAGAGUAUUAUAGAGAAAAGAAAGAGAGAAGUGGCUGAGGGGUUACACUGUUAUACAAGUGACAAGAAAUCAUAUCAAAACUCUUUAAUUAGCCCUUUUUCCCUUUCACAGCCCAAAAUAAUUAUUUGAUAUUAACUAUUUUCAUUGUUUCCUGCUAGAUUGAGUGCACUUAUGAAAUAUAUUUACAGUAAAACAAGCUCUGAAGAAGCAAUGGCUUUAGCAUUACUAGGAGAAUACAUUCUGUAUCCAUGAGAACUUGAAAUUUGCCAGUAUUUCACUUUCACUUAAAAAAAAAAAAAAAAGACACUUUAGCUGUUUAUAAGCUAUCAUAUUUCUAUGUGUUUGGAACAAAUAUAAGGGUUUCUUAUUUGUUUACUUCCAAAAUUUACUACGCAUGUUGCACACUACAAAAAAGAAAUCAUACAAAAAAGAAAGAAAUAUUUUAAUGCUGUUUAAGUGGAAGGCUUUGAAAUAAAUAUAACAGCUUGUAUGUUAUUUUCUUCAGGAAAAAAAUCAAAAUGGUCAACUUUAUGUCGAUUGUGAACUAAUCCAGGUCUUGAAACCAAAAUAAUUAAAUGUGGCGUUCCUAUCCUUC
rnacentral:lncRNA from 1 species